GGAAGAUAAGACACUUGAAGAAGCUGGGUAGAAGGAUUUAAACUGUGUCUAACCCCAGGUCCUUGGGUGUGUAAGGGGCAGUGACCCGAGGGGAGGAUUGCAUGGGAUCCUGCAGAUAGGACUUGGACAGAGAGAGAGGAGGAAGGACCCAUUAGACAUGCCAAGAGACAAGGGUGGGGAAGGUGGGGUGGCAUCGAUGCCUGGACUUCCCAGGAUAUCCCAGAUGUUCCUCCUCAGCAGACAGGCUUGCUGAAAGCCUGACAGAUAAACCCAUCUUUCCCCUCUUUUUCAUCUGCUUCUCCCUCCCUACUGUCUAAAAGAAAGUCGUGUCUCCCUUCCUGUGUCCCGGACACUAAUCGCUCUCCUUCCCUCUACAUCCAUGGCUUUCCACUUGACCAGAUAUAAGAAUCUUCCGCUUGUUAAAAUAGUUCGCGAGGCUCCAAGCCCGGAGUUUCUGCUUGUGUUUCUUUGGGUAGGGCCUAUAACUGCAUUUCUGACGUGUUUCCUGGAGACGCAGAUGAUCUGGGGAACAUGCUUUGAGAAGCUCUGAGUGAGGUCAUUGUCCCACCAAAGGUCCCCCCUCUCUUCUGUAUAGUCACUUAUCUCCUCUUCCUUGGCCGAACUGGCUCGCGGUGUACAGGCUUCCGGCUUCCCUCGAGGCGGCUUCCUCUCUGCACACGAUCCACCUUUCUUUUUUGUCUCCCACAUUCUCGUGGGGACAGCCCCUCACUGUUUUAGCACUUGUGACAUCACCUUACCCACAAUGACCACAGAGACUGCUUCUCCCCUGACGUCCCCCUCUGCACCUGCAGGCCGGCAGACGACCCUCGCCUUAGACUCCCUCCCUGGCUUGGCGUUCCUCAAAUGGAACACUUCACCCUGAGUCCUCUCUCCUGCUCCGCCCCGCCCACCACCACUUUCAGCACCCCUACUAGACCCCCUAACUGCCGCAGAACAGAUAUUUCCCAAGACUCUGCCUGGGCCAUCUUUUUUUUUAACAUUUCAACUCUCAGGCAGGUUCCUACCUCUUGAUUUUGAUCCCCAAAUCGCCCAGCGUGACAUUUUCCUGUCCCUAACCUGGACCUCUCAUCACACGGGAGGGGUUUUACAACCACAGGGGAACUGCUCUCAGUCUUCUCGCGAUCCACACACCAUCGUGUCUCCGGUAGGCCCCAGGUUUGCUUAUUCGGGCCUGGACCACCCCUUCCUCUCCCCUGGAAUCGCUGCAAUGGCCUCAGAAACAAUCAGAAUGUAAAGUUCUCAACUACUGCUCCAGCACCAUGCCUGUCUGCUUCCAGCCAUGAUGAUCACGGACUAACCUCUAAAAUUGGCACAGUUAAGAAAACUUCUGCAGUGACUAUCAACUGACUGAGAAAGAACUUAUAAACACGCUGGCUUCUUAUCACAAUGGGAUCCACACAAGAAAAAGAAAGGAGCGGUCAGUGCUGUGCCAUGAAAUGCUGACUCACCACUGGCAAGAUCUUUUCCUUCCCCAGCUUGCAAUUUUACCACCCAUCUAGUUAGCAUCAUGGCAGGGCCCAGA